UACAGAGGGUGCUAGCGUUGUUCGGAAUCAUUGGGCGUAAAGAGCGCGCAGGCGGUCGUUCAAGUCGCGUGUGAAAGCCCCCGGCUCAACUGGGGAGGGUCACGCGAUACUGAUCGACUCGAAGGCAGGAGAGGGUAGUGGAAUUCCCGGUGUAGUGGUGAAAUGCGUAGAUAUCGGGAGGAACACCGGUGGCGAAGGCGGGUCUCUGGGCAGUAACUGACGCUGAUGCGCGACAGCGUGGGGAGCAAACAGG
rnacentral:rRNA from 1 species